UCCCUUUCAACCGCCACACACCCUUCACCCAUUCUUCCAAAAUCAAACACAACACAACACUUAGCAAUAGCAAAAAUCAACUGAGGGAAAGAAAAGAGAGGAGAGGGUGCGAGAAGGGGGGAGAGUGCGCCGGCGAGUCAUUGCCGCCGUCGUCGCUGAUGGCGGAAGAACGAGGAGAAUGUGUCGCAGAGCAGGAGGAGCUAUCCGCAUGCGCCACCAUCGCGCACCACCACCACAUCGCCGACGAAGAGGAGAGAGCGAAUCGGCCGUCCGUGAAAUCUGGCUCGCCGUCAUCCGUGCCCGCUGCCACCAUCGCACGAACCAGAGGAGGAAGAGAGCCAUCAUGUUGCGUGCGAAAGGGAGGUCGAAGCUGUUGCAUGUAGAGGAGAGGAACGGCGUCGCGGUUGGGGCUAGGAUCUUCUGCCGCCGCUGGGUUACCCACUGACAUCGCCUUUCUGAAGUUGUUAGGCCACCACGAGGAUUCGACGUGAGGAAGGGGAAACAGAAACGCAGACGGAAGAGAGAAAAGGAAGUCACCACUGCUGCUGAAUCGACAGAGCCACUCUUGCGCUACCGCAGCCAUCGUCGGAGUUCUUAGCUGCCGCCACUGCCGUUGCUGCUGUUGAAGUUUUUCGCCAUCACCGAAGCCGCUGUAGGGACAGUUCGGAGCUGCUGUCAUUGCUUCAUCUCCAUGUUUCUCCUUUGUUAAGUUCGAGUUCCGGUUGUUGCGUGUUGCGCUUAGACUUGCGGUUGCUGCUACGGAUAGUGGAUAAAGCUGAGGUUACGGCUGUUGCCGUUGGUGGCCAAGGAAAAGGGCGAGUUUCGACUUUGAGGAACUGGAUGAAGGAGCAUUAAGAAGAGUUAAACUGCGUUUAGUUUUAUAUGUUGUUGUAUUAAUUAGAUUAUUUUCUUCCCUCGUCUUUGUUAUUACAAUUUUGUAAGAGGGAUAGGA